AACUAUAACGGUCCUAAGGUAGCGAAAUUCCUUGUCGGGUAAGUUCCGACCUGCACGAAUGGCGUAAUGAUGGCCAGGCUGUCUCCACCCGAGACUCAGUGAAAUUGAACUCGCUGUGAAGAUGCAGUGUACCCGCGGCAAGACGGAAAGACCCCGUGAACCUUUACUAUAGCUUGACACUGAACAUUGAGCCUUGAUGUGUAGGAUAGGUGGGAGGCUUUGAAGUGUGGACGCCAGUCUGCAUGGAGCCGACCUUGAAAUACCACCCUUUAAUGUUUGAUGUUCUAACGUUGGCCCGUAAUCCGGGUUGCGGACAGUGUCUGGUGGGUAGUUUGACUGGGGCGGUCUCCUCCUAAAGAGUAACGGAGGAGCACGAAGGUUGGCUAAUCCUGGUCGGACAUCAGGAGGUUAGUGCAAUGGCAUAAGCCAGCUUGACUGCGAGCGUGACGGCGCGAGCAGGUGCGAAAGCAGGUCAUAGUGAUCCGGUGGUUCUGAAUGGAAGGGCCAUCGCUCAACGGAUAAAAGGUACUCCGGGGAUAACAGGCUGAUACCGCCCAAGAGUUCAUAUCGACGGCGGUGUUUGGCACCUCGAUGUCGGCUCAUCACAUCCUGGGGCUGAAGUAGGUCCCAAGGGUAUGGCUGUUCGCCAUUUAAAGUGGUACGCGAGCUGGGUUUAGAACGUCGUGAGACAGUUCGGUCCCUAUCUGCCGUGGGCGCUGGAGAACUGAGGGGGGCUGCUCCUAGUACGAGAGGACCGGAGUGGACGCAUCACUGGUGUUCGGGUUGUCAUGCCAAUGGCACUGCCCGGUAGCUAAAUGCGGAAGAGAUAAGUGCUGAAAGCAUCUAAGCACGAAACUUGCCCCGAGAUGAGUUCUCCCUGACUCCUUGAGAGUCCUGAAGGAACGUUGAAGACGACGACGUUGAUAGGCCGGGUGUGUAAGCGCAGCGAUGCGUUGAGCUAACCGGUACUAAUGAACCGUGAGGCUUAACCUU
rnacentral:rRNA from 1 species